GGUGGGGCCAGAUAAGGGAAGCAGGCCUCCGAAGCCAGCAGUGGCAACCCACUUGGGUCCCUUUCAAUGCUGUGGAAGCGUUGUUCUUUCACUCUUCUCAAUAAAUCUUGCUGCUGCUCACUCUUUGGGUCUGCCCCGCUGUUAUGAGCUGUAACACUCACAGCCAGUGUCUGCAGUUUCACUCCUGAAGCCAGCAAGACCACAAACCCACAGGGCGGGACAAACAACUCCGGACAGGAGGAAUGAACAACUCUGGACGCGCCACUUCUAUGAACUUUUAUGAACUGUAACACUCACCGCAAAGGUCUGCAGCUUCACCCCUGAGGCCAGGGAGACCACGAACCCACCGGAAGGAAUGAACAACUCCAGACGCACUGCCUUUAAGAGCUGUAACACUUACCACGGAUGUCUGCAGCUUCACUCCUGAAGUCAGCGAGACCACAAACCCAACAGAAGGAAGAAACUCCCGACACAUCUGAACAUCUGAAGGAACAAACUCUGGACACACCAUCUUUAAGAACUGUAACACUCACCGUGAGGGUCAACCGCUUCAUUCUUGAAGUCAGCCAGACCAAGAACCCACCAAUUCCGUCUAUCUGAAUCAUGUUAUUGGACCAUGAGAGCAAGCAGCUGGAUCUCAUUCUGUCCAGGACUCCUGGAAACAGCAGCUCUAACAAAAUUGUCUUCAAUAAAUAAGUUUUUUUGCAUCACAUUUGUGUAUGUCCUGAAUGUUCUGAGCCCUUCAGAUUUGACUCAUAUUCAUGCUAAAAGAAAAAAUGCAAAUGAAAAUUGUAUAGCUAAUUAUGAGAAAAAUAAAGCAUCAUAAGAAAACCAGUA
rnacentral:lncRNA from 1 species